GACGAACGCUGGCGGCGUGCUUAACACAUGCAAGUCGAACGAUGAAGCCCAGCUUGCUGGGUGGAUUAGUGGCGAACGGGUGAGUAACACGUGGGCAACCUGCCCCAAACUCUGGGAUAACUCCUCGAAAGAGGUGCUAAUACCGGAUACGAACUAGACAGACAUCUGUACUAGUUGGAAAGUUUUUCGGUUUGGGAUGGGCCCGCGGCCUAUCAGCUUGUUGGUGAGGUAACGGCUCACCAAGGCUACGACGGGUAACCGGCCUGAGAGGGCGACCGGUCACACUGGGACUCAGACACUGCCCAGACUCCUACGGGAGGCAGCAGUGGGGAAUAUUGCGCAAUGGGCGAAAGCCUGACGCAGCGACGCCGCGUGAGGGAUGAAGGUCUUCGGAUCGUAAACCUCUUUCAGUAGGGACGAAGCGAAAGUGACGGUACCUAAAGAAGAAGCACCGGCUAACUACGUGCCAGCCGCCGCGGUAA
rnacentral:rRNA from 1 species